AUGCACCAUUGAGUAUUGGGGGAAAGGACAAAACCUUCACUAGCACCUCUGCCUUAUCAAGCAGUGACAUCCAUGAAUCCUCAGUAGCCCUCACCACAAC